UUAGCUAAAUUACAACUAAAACCUUAAAUUGUAUCAUAACAAUUUGGCGACGAGGAAAACCAGUAUCACCGUAUCGAUACGAUUAAAGCAGUUUUAAAUAAAUAUUGAAAACUGUGGGUAAGUUUGUUCAGAGUUUCUUUGAAGUUAGGUAAGAUUCAAGGAAACUUGUGCCGCAGACAGUUGUUUCUGGCCAAAAACAACUGUUGAGCGAAGAUAGAUCUGCGCGAUUUAGCAUAUAUCAGCUACCAGAUUGUGUUUUACGUAUUCUAAAAUUGUGAAAAAAAAAUUAAUUACUGGAUUAUUGGCGUUGUACUAACUCCAUUUUGUUUUACUUAUAUCUUUCAAUAGGCAGUAUUCUCUUUGUAUGCGGCGCUCUUGGUGGAGCACUCACUAAACUAGGAAAGCGACCAAAUUCUUUGAUGGAGUGAGAUCCGUUCUAACGCUUAGUUGACAUUCAAAUUCAAGUUAGCUGAGGCCGACAGAAGAGAGCGAAAUCUAAUAAGACUGGAAGUGAGAUACGCAUCGGAUAUCUUAGUGAGAAAGAAGCAAAGAUAAAAGUGAGAAGUGAGAAGCUGUAUGCACUUCUGCAUUAGUCGGUUGGUGCGGCCGAUGAAUCUGUUGCUUGCUGUUGUUGUUGUGAAAUUCUGCUGUUGCUGCUGUUGAAAAGUCAGACGUUUGGUUCAAUCGUUGGGACUUGAAUGCUGGAUCGUUGAAUUUCGUUGGACGGUUAGGAAUAUUCAUCUAGUAGAAAGCACUACCGAGUAAACUCGAUCGGUUGUUUGGGACGUAAGUUGCGGUAUCCAUUUCGGUUGGUAACCACGUCACUACGGCACACAAGAAUCAGUUGAAGAUGAUAUACGUUCCCAAACAACGAUCGAAAGUAUACGUCACAAUGAGAGAGGCUGCCAAGAAACGCAAGCGAGGAUCUAUCGAGGACGAAGAUGAAUUCACGGGCUUUCCUGAUAUACCGUCGGUCGCUGAAGAUGCGGGGCAUACUAAUAAAAAGUAUGCCCAAACAAGGAGUCCGAUCAUUACUCGAUCUAAAGCAGCCUUGUCUACGAAUUAUAGUGCAUCUGAUUCCUAAAUUUUGUAAAUGGCGUGAAGAAAGAAAUUUUCUAUGAAUUUGGCAUUGUUAUGCUAUCAGAUAAGUUAUUUCAUUUAGUUAUUAUAGAAUUUAUUUGAAAUUGAUGAAUGUUUGCACUACACUGCUAUCAGAAUGUUUAAUCUAAACUAGUCGAUUCAUGAAUGAAUUGUCUUGAAGAAGGGAGAAUUGUAAUGUUGGCCUAAACGAUAAGAUCUAAAAUGGAACUUCGAAUCAUAUAUAUAUUUAUCAUCAAUUGAACUCAGUGUACUACAUACUCACCACAUUUGUACUCUCUCUCAUGAUUAAUAAAAAGAUAUGAUCAGUCGAUCUUCAGCCGUACUCUGUGCGGAGACAAAAACGUGAGCUAAAGGUAUUUUUUAUUAAAGCGAAUUCAAAGUGUCUUAUU